CCCCUCGCACACAUCUCCCCCGCUCGGCCGUCACCCCAGGACCGGCGAUUUGCGACCGCCGUCGACGCCGGCCACCGACGUCGAGACUCUGACAAGAGGUGCGGAAGCAUAGGAGGCGGGCCCGCACUUUCGCGGCCUCGUAGCGGCGUUGGAGGAUGCCGUCGCCGACGUUGUUGUUCUCUCGCCAUCGCGAGACCUCCCGCUGUCAGCAGCUUCGCCGUUGCCGCUAGAGAUCAUAUCGGACAGCAUCGACGAGUUCUUCUUCAAGAACUUCAUCGACACGUCGUCAUGCGAGGAGUCCGACGACGACUUUCUCACGGAGGCUACGUUGAUCAUCCACGAGCACAAUGUCGCGCAGAUCCCUGUGUACCAGGGGUCCUUGCCGGAGCGCGCGACGGUCUUGGACCGCAAAAGAGAACACGGCCAUGACAUGCUCUUCAACGACUACUUCUACCGCAAACAACAACAAUGAAGAAAAUCCCAGAGAAAACAAUGCCUAGGCCAUUUGUAUCAUUUUACAUUUUUUUUUGAAUAAUACUUUGUCAUUGAAUAAGUGAACAAUAAUAUUAUGUAAUAAAUCUUGAGUAUUUAAACUUA